AGUAAUACAUCGGAACGUGCCCUGUAGUGGGGGAUAACUAGUCGAAAGAUUAGCUAAUACCGCAUACGACCUGAGGGUGAAAGUGGGGGACCGCAAGGCCUCAUGCUAUGGGAGCGGCCGAUGUCUGAUUAGCUAGUUGGUGGGGUAAAGGCCCACCAAGGCGACGAUCAGUAGCUGGUCUGAGAGGACGAUCAGCCACACUGGGACUGAGACACGGCCCAG
rnacentral:rRNA from 1 species